AUCACAAAGCCAAGCGUACUAAACGGCAAAUGACGGGAAUUUCGCUAACCACCUAAACUGAAAAUGGCGCUACAAAUCCACUUACCUUCUCCUCUCGCCAAAAAAUCUUAUCAUCAUCUUCUCCAAGCUCCUCUCCUUCUAUGUCGAUCCAGACCCAAAUUCACAAUCCAAUCCCAAAAGACCACCUCCAACACCGAAUCCACUAACGAGUCACCAGUCCCCAAGAAGUCCACUUCGCCUGGGCUAGGGUUCGGGACACCAUCUUCUGUAGCUCCAACCAAGUCAAGUUCAACUAAGGCUGGUCCUAGUACUGUGAGUACUAAGAGGAAGCAGAGGGAUAAAAGGGAGAGGGCCUCCAUAAUUAGGCGGACACCGGUUGAGAAACCAGCAUUUGUAAGCCAAGAGGACGAGGCUAAAGCUAAGGAGCAGAGUAAGAAUGAGAGUGCCUUUCUUCUUGCUUGGUUGGGCCUUGGUGGGAUCAUUCUUGUAGAGGGCAUUGUGCUUGCUGCAUCAGGAUUCCUACCUGACAAAUGGGAUAAAUUUUUUGUGAAGUAUCUGUAUCCGUCUUUCACCCCUACAGUUGCCUUGUUUGUUGCUGGAACUGUUGCAUAUGGAGUGUUGAAGUAUCUGCAGAAUGAGGAACUUAAAGACCAAAAAUAAUGCUUUCUGAAUAUAUACAUCUGUUUCCAGAAUGUGAGAAGUCGUGGAAAGGUUAAUCUGAGCUCUUAGUGAUGUUGGUCUCAGAGAACCUCUGCCUUUGUAGCCAGAUAGAAGCUCAGUUCUACAUUUGGAAGUUCGUUGUUAAGAGAUUAAUGAGAUGAUUAUUGGCAGAACGAGCACUGAUUCCACCAGUUUGAGAAAAUCUGAGGAAGAUGUAAUUAGAGUUGUAGUCUCUUGAAGUAUGAAAAAGUUUCUGUGAUUUGAUUUUGCACAUCAAACAUGUGCUACUAGAUAGAGUUAAGCAUUAAAGCCCCUCAUAUAGAGUUUACAAUUAUGAGCAUAUGCAUUUAAAGCUCUAUUAUGCCUAAUGGCUCAGGAUGACGCCUUUUGGCACCUUAUGGCGCUAAUUGAUUACUGUAGCCAGUGCAGCUGGAGCCUUAUCUAUAAAUCCUGAAAAGUUGAGUGGUUUUUGUUACUUUAACCUCAGUGAUCAAGUUUUACUUUCCUUUUAUUCAUUUUUAUGUUGUAGGAGAAAUCAUCUGAAGUCAUAUUGUGGUGUCCCUCCAGGUAUGGGAUAGCCAUCUUUUUGGACCACCAAAAAUCAUUUAGUUUACCGCGUAGUUGGUUUAAGAUUUGCAAAUGAAUUCAAUGCAAGCACUUUUGUGUCGCUUCACCAAAUUUGUGUGAAAAAUAGAUGACAUGAUCUCUAGAGGCCCCUCUUUUAAUUAUUGUCUCCUCCUUUGCACAUCUUCCCUUUUCAAUGAUAAUCAAUUUGCACCAACUCUUUAUUUCUUUUUCUUCUCUUUCCUUCCCUCUCCGCUCUUCCUCUUCUUUCUUUUAUUUUUCUUUUUUCUCUUCUCAUUGAUAUCAAUUGAACAAUUACUCCAUGUCCAUGACCAUGAUGUGGGUAGGAAAUUCUUUACUUUCUUCUGUCUUGAUCAUCAUUUAUUCUUUGUGUGUAAUUGAUAGUGAUCCCUUCUUUCUAGUUAAUUUUUAUCUCUGGAGAGAGCAAGAGACAAAGCUAACAAGAAGUUACAGCUAGCUGGCUACAGCCUAUAGACAGCUAGCUCUUCCUUUCUAAUUGAUUCUUUGGAUUGAUUAUUUGGUGUAAUUGAAGUUAUAACCAAGGCCAAAUGCCAAAAACUGCAUAAAUGGGAAAGGUGAGCUUAUAAGCAAUGGUCUUAGCAACUUCUAUGCAUGGAAGCAUCAUAUCCCGGCAAGAAUACAUGUUACUGUAUGCACUUAAUGCCUGUAAAUAAAUGGACUAAAAUUAGGGGGUUUUCUCUUCUUUUUUUCGUGUUUAAAUAACAAAUUGAGGAAGACCAGAGAAAGGACAAAGGAAGGAUGUUUAAAAGCACUGUAGGUCUUGGUAGGUCAAAAAGUUAAAAAGUGUUCAGGUGCCGCUCUACCAAUUUUCCACUAAUUCUGAAUUCUUAAGUGAGCGUUUAUAUAGCUAUGGUUGAAGAAAUUGACCUCUAAAUCUAAUAGUUUCACUAUUGGGCAUGGAUUGAGACGACGGAGAUGCUGAAUAUUUUAUUAUCCUUUGCCCCAAAGACAGUGGGUUCCAACUUACUAGAGAGUCAAAUUAACCCAUUUCAUGCUCGAGUCAAAUUAACUCAUUUCAUGCUAGCGUCAAAACAUUGUUGACAAAACGAGAAACCAGCCAGCCGGUUCCCAAAUUUUCAUCAAUUUUACAAUAUUUGAUUUAGGUAAAGAAAUAUUCAUGCAUUUCAUGCCAUUGGUUUGAUUCUACGUUUUUCUGCUAUAUAUAAGGCUUAAAAGAGAUGGUAACACGUAGUCAAAUAGUUUAAUUCAGGGAAAGUUAAUGGCUCUGAUUGGGUGGAAUGACAGUUAAUAGAAUUUGUCUUUCUGCUUCAUGGUGGUUGAGAUUAUUUUAAUUGAUUUAGAGUUUUUUAAUUUGAAAUGGUUAAAAAUCGGUCUCCAGAGAUGAUUAUCUCUAGUUCGUUAAGGAUAUUAAUAUUAUGACCAUGCUAGAACGUUCUGACAAAUAUUCUUUCAAAUUGGACGAUAAUGUACCGUAGUAAAUGUGUCAAGCGACUCAUUAAUGGUAAACUAUUAAUUAAUAAAUGUUGAGCCGCUUUAUCUAUAUUCUAUCCAUCAUGUGCGUUUUUUCUAUCAGUUCUACUGUACGCGUAAUUAUAAUUCUAUGGAGGUUCUGUGCACUUUGAAGUGCUCAAUCUGCAAGUUCCGAGUAUAGACGAGGUCGGCUCGUCUAUUCCAAGCAUGGAUAUUGUUGGAAGUAUAAGAGAACUGAUCUACACACUUUAUUAGAUGUGUUUUCUAUAGUUCAGUCAGAUCGAAGUCCUAAUUUGAAAAUUCUGCUUAGCUUAUACACAUGGCAUGAUCUCAACAAAAUCUAUCAUUAUUAUGUUAUUACCUUCCAUGCUCUCUUUGAUUCAGGUUUCAAUUUCAAAUAGAGAAAUCCUUAUUAGCAUAAGAAUUAAGGUUCGUCCCUACGAUUUUGAUUGUUUCUCUAUAUAUAAAUAUUCUCAAAAGCUUACAUCAAUUCUCUUCUAUAGCGUUGUCUUCUUUUUUCCAUGUAUUUAUACACAAAUUGGAAAUUGAAUUAUUGAAUUGCAUUUCGAUAUCGUUCAUUGUAAUUGCAUUUUCUUUUUUUACACUCCUUUACAGCCAAAGAUCCAUCUAUGUGAGCUUAUCAAAAUAUAAAGCAAAGAGUUAUGGUAAUUUUCGGUAGAAAACUCCAGAGAACCUUUUGCUUAUUUUUGGUUAGGAUAGAUUCCUUUAAAUUCGAGUAGGUGGCAAAGUAAGUGUGGCUUAUUCAGGAAAAGCAGGGGGGAAAAGCAUCCAAAAAAUUAUUAUUUCAAAGGAGGAAGAGGCCAAAUCAUUCCACAAAAUUUAUUAAAAAUUAGGAAAGAAAGCAAUAGGGAUGGGUCCCUUGGCUUAGAUGCAUCUAAAACCCACAGCUUGUUGACAAUGACUCCUGUUGCAAAUACUAAAUGCUUUUACCUUGUUACUAUCAUAGAAAAAUUAAGAUAAUUUCCAGUGUCAAAAUCAAUUUUUGCAAAGGGUAGCAACCAAUUAAAAACAUUUGUCUGCCUUGACAGGCGCAACCUUACACACCAAUCUAAGCUUAUAAUAUAAUUUAAGCGGCUUAUAAUUGCCAAAGUUGUUUAAUCUAAAUGGUUAAGGCAUGUUUUUAGACAUUAUUCAGGAACAGAGAUCAAAUCACUUUUCUCAUGGUUACCCUUCAAUAGGUCUUGAAAAAUACUACAAGUAUUGUGUCAAAAAAAAAUCUAAGCUUAUAAUCAAGGGAGAAUUAAUUACCGUUGAUGGUAAUUGAUGAUACCGUAAGCCUGUCGAAGAACUAACAGAGUUUAGAAAUUUGUCCGCCUACUUGCUGCAACAUUCACAAUUAAUAUCGCCAUGCUGUUGGCGAUCCAAAAUUUGACAACUCGCAGUGGCACAAGACAUAAAACUCACUGUUAAAUUAAGCACCUUCGGCUUCCUCUUCAGAUGCUAAAGUGCAGUACAGUGCUCUCACUCUCAUGCCCUGUCCCAAUUAAUGAAUAUUGUCCGAAGAUAUUUCUAUUUUCUGACGCAGCACCUCAUCAUCAAGAUAUUUUUUUUAUUUACAAACAGUAAACAAAAAAUAAUAUAUUAUUACACAUUUUUAACGACCUCGGCCAAAAUAUGCAUUCCACAAAACCACCCACAAACCCAAACAAAUAUAAAAAUCAUAGAAACCCCAAAACUACAAAUUACAAAAACCAAACUCAUCUACUGAUCCAGUGCAUUAGGGCCAGUGCAGUAACUGACCACAUGAUUCCACAACCACUGAACCAAGUACCUCCGCC